rnacentral:rRNA from 1 species
GACGAACGCUGGCGGCGUGCUUAACACAUGCAAGUCGAACGGAAAGGCCCUGCUUGCAGGGUACUCGAGUGGCGAACGGGUGAGUAACACGUGGGUGAUCUGCCCUGCACUUCGGGAUAAGCCUGGGAAACUGGGUCUAAUACCGGAUAGGAGCCAUUUUUAGUGUGAUGGUUGGAAAGUUUUUUCGGUGUAGGAUGAGCUCGCGGCCUAUCAGCUUGUUGGUGGGGUAAUGGCCUACCAAGGCGGCGACGGGUAGCCGGCCUGAGAGGGUGGACGGCCACAUUGUGACUGAGAUACGGCCCAGACUCCUACGGGAGGCAGCAGUGGGGAAUAUUGCACAAUGGGCGCAAGCCUGAUGCAGCGACGCCGCGUGGGGGAUGACGGCCUUCGGGUUGUAAACUCCUUUCGCUAGGGACGAAGCUUUUUGUGACGGUACCUAGAUAAGAAGCACCGGCUAACUACGUG